UUUCCACUUCCCUCCAAUUUUUUUCCCUUCCCUCCAUUUUUUCCCUCCGUUGAUUUAUAUAUAGAAUAUUUGGGCCCUAAAACUACGUCGUUUUGUGGGGAAUUAACAUUGUAUUCUCCACUUUCCCAUUUCAUUUUGCAAUAGCCCUAAUCCUUUCAUUUUGCAAUAGCCCUAAUCCUUCAGCCGUUCUCUUGCCUUCCAUCACAGCUCUCUCUCCUUCAUCACGGUCUCGCCCUUCUAUUACCGGUCGCGCCCUUCCAUCACCGGUCAACGAUUCGAACUUCCUUUUCACAAUACAUCAUCUAAGUAGAUUUUGAAGCAAUUCGACUUCGAGUGCAUAGGGGAAGAAGUGUCGUCAUCAAGCCGGGAAUACAGAAACAGCCAAAGCAGUAAACAAGAUCAGGAGGAAAUAAUCAAUCGUAGCUUGGAUUGUUGGAACAAGUUUUGUCGUUAAGUAGUCUGAUUUCGUUUUUCAGGAAGGAUAAAUAAUAAGCUGAUAAUGAAACGAACGGUUAGUGAAGUGGAAAAAGUGAGUGAACAAAAUACCGAAGCUUCAACUUCAAAAUCAUCCCAACCACCGCCGAAGAAGAGACGGGGCCCGACACGAUGCAAGAAUGGUUAAUAAGUUUGGACAACCGAUCGACCCUGGAAGUGGUACAUAUACUAAAUAUUUGGGAACACUUGCCCGGAAUGCAAAUUUAGCUCCUUUGUGCUACAAAACUUGGUGGGAGAUGCCUAAACAGCUGAAGGAGGAUAUGUGGAACAUUGUAAAGGGAAAGUAUGAUGUGAGAAUCAUGUCAAAACAUAGGACAAUAUCCUCCAUCGAAAAAAAAUGGAGGGGGUACAAGUGUGAAUUAAAAAGUGAAUAUUACUCAGUUAGGGAUACAGAUGCAGAAAGAUUGGCAAACCCACCACCUGAUGUUGAAAAGGAGCAUUGGGAAUUUUUGGUUAGGCAUUGGGGUACGCCUAUGGCGAAGGAGGUCAGUAAAAAAAAUAAAGAAUGUCGUGGGAAACAGACAAUGAUACAUACUACAGGGACAAAAAGCUUUGCACGUGUUUCUGCCGAGAUUGAGGAAGACGAAAGUAUUCAGCUUUCUCGUGCAGAUUUAUUCAUUUGCACACAUAUAAAUAAGGAUGGCAAAGCUACUGAUGCUGCUGCUUCGGAGAUGAUUAUAAGUUUUCAUGCUUCCAUUUUGCAAAAAAGGGGUCACGUGCCUUGAAGUGACCAAUUUUUAAACUCUUUGCGGUGUAUUAGGGGGUCACAUGCCUUGAAGUGACCAAUUUUUAAAUCAUCGGCCCGUGUGGAGGCAUUUUAAUUUCAUUGUUUAUCAUUGGCCCGUGUGGAGGCAAUUUACUUUCUUGUAUUUGUUGAAAAGCAUGGGAGUAUGGGAUCAUUGUAUGUGGAGGCUUCUUGUUGAUUGAUUUGUGUUGUGGAGGAGAAGUAUUUGAUAUUUGUUGUUUGUUGUUUGUGUUAAUUUCUUACUCAUACCAGUGCAGUGGUCUUUUGAAUCAUGGUAAAAGUAUGAUAUACAUAUAUAAAGUUAAAAGUAUGAUAUACACAUGUAUAGUUUUUGGUCAUCCUUGCAUUUUCAAUCAUGGUAAAAGUAUGAUAUACACAUAUAUAGUUGUAUUUCAGAAGUAGCUACUACAGCUUUGAAUAAUUCCAUUAUUUGGAUCCUUGAGGAAUGGGUAAUGAUGGAUGAUGGGCUGCUUCUAUAGAUCUUUACUCUUGGUGCAGUCUUUAUGAGGAUAUUUGAAUUUUGAACAAUUCUAUCAGGGGAUAGAAACCCUUUAUUGGGUAUUUGAAUGAGAUUCAUAACAGUAUGUCUUAUUUAUUGUAGUUAUUGUUUUUUUGUCGCAACUCUUACCUCUAGGCGGACUGUGUUUGCUUUGAAAUCUUGUUAGAUUUGAAGAUCAUAUUUCAGUUGGGACUUGAAUGGUCAGAUAUUGUUUCUGAUCAAUAAUUGACUGAAAUCAGGCAUGCAAAAUUUUCAGUAUCUCACGUAAAUUAUCAAUUCAUGGGAUCACAUGUUUGCUAUUCCCAUCUGGAUUAGGUUUUGUGGUGCUCAAAGUUGAAUUGCAAUUGUGCUUCUAUGUAGAAGGCUUUUAGAACCUAUUAUGUUUUUUUUUUUUUUUUUUUUUUUUUUUUUUUUUUUUUUUUUUUUUUUUAAAUCAGGUUUUGUAGAAAUGUUAGCGUUUUUUUCUCCAUAACCAAAUAAAAUAAACUACAACUGAAACAAGUUCAACAUAUAAGAUGAAGAAUUUUGUAGUUCCCCUGCAAGAAAGAUCCCUGACAAAAAAAUUAGAGCCGGAAGAGGAAUCUCAAGAAAAAGGGUGGGGACAUGCACGUAGAUCUUAAGAGAAGACAAUCACCAUAAGUGUCACGCACACAUAAGCUCUCCCAGCUCAGAAAGUCACUGAAAUUUUUACAUACCAUGUACUAUGAAUUAUAUUGGGAACCAAUCUUCUUGGAAAAUUACAAUGGAGCAAGCAUCAACAACAUGCCUAAAAAGGAAGUCUAAGAGCCUGAAUUCAUUUCCAGACCCAAAGAUGACCAUCUGAGCAAACAAAAAGAAAGAAAGAACUAUAACAGCGAGACAAGAUACCUGACCUCUUUAUCAGCAUGAUCUGAGAUCUGGCUGAUGUAAUGUGCAAUGCGUUUAGGAGAAAAGGAAUUUCCUGUGUCUAAGAACACAACACCACCCAUAUGAUUCUUUGCAACAUUUGAGGCUGCUUGUAGGUAAACCUGGACAGUUACAAGAUUUUAGAUCAAUAGCAUAACUCUGGUAAAUCUGGUGAUCAAAUUGUGGGCCAAGAAUAGUAUAAUAAUUUAGUGAUUUAGAGGCCAUAAAACAGUUAGAAACAUAAUUCAGAAGCAUCUGAAAUUUCAACUAACUUGUAUCGUUUUAAUGAUUGUAAUUAUAAGUGAAUGGAGUUCUUACUUGUGUGUUUUCCCAGAUGAUGAUGGCCCAACUAUUUCUAUUAGAUGUCCCUCACAUAAUCCACCUUGAAGUAACAUGUCAAUCCUGGUUCAUAAAAUGAUAAUUAAUUACUUAGGUGUCUUAAUAGCAUCAUAAUCUUAGUGUGGUAAAAAAAACAAAUAGUGAAUAUUCAGGCUCAAGAUACUUUUCACAUCCAGUGGAUAGAACAUGCUUAUUUUGUUGAGCAUCUUCCAAUAGCUCCAUACCAUUCAGCCAAGGUUGAUGCUGACCAUCUAUGAUAGAGAGGACCUGGGUAAUCCCCUACUUGCUCAAAACAAUAAAAUAAAUAAAAAAUAAAAAAUCAUAUAGUACUACCAUAAAAUACUGAUGUAUAAGAAAAACAAUACUUUUGAAUAGCGAACCUGCUUUAAUCUUUCUGAAUUAGAGUGUUGUUCUGCCAAAGCAACUAAGACACAGAUGUCAUGAACAAGGAAAUCUUCAACUACACAAUAAUACACGAGGAUAAAUUAAAAAUAACAUAAAUUUAGUUAGGCAUGCAAGUUUUUGUAAGUAAAAUGGACCUCAGACACACACACACACAAAUAAAUAAAUGGGCCUCAGACUUCAGGUUGAAGCUAAGUACUAUUAUUUAGGUUCUGAAAUGUCAGUAUAUUGCCCACAAUUUUUAGCAUUCCUUUAAUUUCUAGCAUUUCGUCUGUAAAUGAAGUGGGUGUGAAUAUUUUGAAGCUUUAGAUUGUAUGAAAGUUCAAAGGUAUGUACAACUAUAUUUUCACUUUGUGUGAUACACUGCUGUUUCAUAACACUUUGGCUUUCAUCAUUACCAAUUUGUUAUCUAAUUACUUUUCUGUUCAGCUGUUUCUGGAUUCCUGUUCUAUCAUUCAUUUCAUUAGAUUUGUCUGGAUGUUUCAUAGCAGUAUGUCAUGGUAGUUCAAACUUUUUUUUUUUUGGCAGGAAAACAUAAAGAACUUCAAAAAAGUUACUCUGACUCACCUAUUGGUAGUUCCAAUGAUUUGUUCUCCAUUGUGAGGGGAGAAGAGAGAACUGGUCGUGUGUGGAUGCUUGGCUUCGGGCCUUCACCAAGCGAUGUUUGGGGGCCCUCUCCUAGUAAAGCUGAACUGAUUAAUAAUGCGAAAAAAUCUGAUGAGGAGGCACGUGCUGCACGCAUAGAGUUGUAGGAGAGCAUUUCAAAAAUGCAAGCCAAGUAUGACAACAAGUUGGAAAAUUUACGAGCCAACUAUGAUAACAAGUUGAAAAAUUUACAACAACAGGUGGCUAUGCUAAUGCAUAUGCAACAACAAAAUUGUAGUGGACAGGGUUCUGAUUCUUUAAAUGCUCCUCCUAGAGUAUCCCCAAAUUUAUUUUUUAGUUGUGAUGCCAAUUCAGUUAAGGUUAUGAACUUUUAAUUUCUCUUAUAUAUAUGUUAAAUUUUCAUUUAUUAUAAUGUGUGCGUAAUGAAUUUAUAAAAAAUGUAGGGUAAUUCAAAUCAAAUGGGCAAGAAGACUUGUUGAAGUUGAAGAUGGGGUUGUGGCUGUGCUUUCUGAAUUUCCUUCGCCUUGGAUGGGUUCUUUUUGAAAAACUUGUACUACAUUUGUCAAAAAUUCUUAAUUCUUUUUGUCUGACAUUUAGUAGCUUUAUUUAGACAAUUUGGAUAGUAUAUUGGCAGGUUAACUUGUGGUUGUAUUAGUAUACAUUUUUGCUUUUUGGUUGACAUUUAUCAGCUUAACUUGUGGUUA